rnacentral:rRNA from 1 species
CCUACGGGGGCUGCAGUGGGGAAUAUUGGACAAUGGGCGAAAGCCUGAUCCAGCCAUGCCGCGUGUGUGAAGAAGGCCUUCGGGUUGUAAAGCACUUUCAGUGGGGAAGAAAGCCUUGGGGCUAAUACCCUCGAGGAAGGACAUCACCCACAGAAGAAGCACCGGCUAACUCCGUGCCAGCAGCCGCGGUAAUACGGAGGGUGCGAGCGUUAAUCGGAAUUACUGGGCGUAAAGCGCGCGUAGGCGGUCUGAUAAGCCGGUUGUGAAAGCCCGGGCUCAACCUGGGAACGGCAUCCGGAACUGUCAGGCUAGAGUGCAGGAGAGGAAGGUAGAAUUCCCGGUGUAGCGGUGAAAUGCGUAGAGAUCGGGAGGAAUACCAGUGGCGAAGGCGGCCUUCUGGACUGACACUGACGCUGAGGUGCGAAAGCGUGGGUAGCAAACAGGAUUAGAUACCCCAGUAGUC